rnacentral:tRNA from 1 species
GCGGGUGUAGCUCAAUGGUAGAGCUUCUGCCUUCCAAGCAGAUGGCGCGGGUUCGAUUCCCGUCACCCGCU